UACGAAGGGGGGCUAGCGUUGCUCGGAAUCACUGGGCGUAAAGGGCGCGUAGGCGGCGUUUUUUUUAAGUCGGGGGGUGAAAAGCCUGUGGCUCAACCACAGAAUGGCCUCGAUACUGGGACGCUUGAGUAUGGGUAGAGGUUGGUGGAACUGCGAGUGAGAGGUGAAAAUGCGCAGAUAUCAGGAAGAACACCCGUGGCUAAGGCGGCUCUCUAGUAACGGGUACUGACGCUGAGACGCGAAAAAGCGUGGGGGAGCAAACAGG
rnacentral:rRNA from 1 species